GCUUUGCUUUGGCCUGAUCAGUUGGCGAACGGGUGAGUAACACGUGAGUAACCUGCCCCAGACUCUGGGAUAACCCCGGGAAACCGGAGCUAAUACCGGAUAUGACAUCAACUCGCAUGAGUAUGGUGUGGAAAGUUUUUCGGUCUGGGAUGGACUCGCGGCCUAUCAGCUUGUUGGUGAGGUAGUGGCUCACCAAGGCGACGACGGGUAGCCGGCCUGAGAGGGCGACCGGCCACACUGGGACUGAGACACGGCCCAGACUCCUACGGGAGGCAGCAGUGGGGAAUAUUGCACAAUGGGCGGAAGCCUGAUGCAGCGACGCCGCGUGAGGGAUGACGGCCUUCGGGUUGUAAACCUCUUUCAGCAGGGAAGAAGCGCAAGUGACGGUACCUGCAGAAGAAGCACCGGCUAACUACGUGCCAGCAGCCGCGGUAAUACGUAGGGUGCGAGCGUUGUCCGGAAUUAUUGGGCGUAAAGAGCUUGUAGGUGGUUUGUCGCGUCUGCUGUGAAAAUCCGAGGCUCAACCUCGGACUUGCAGUGGGUACGGGCAGACUAGAGUGUGGUAGGGGAGACUGGAAUUCCUGGUGUAGCGGUGGAAUGCGCANAUAUCAGGAGGAACACCGAUGGCGAAGGCAGGUCUCUGGGCCAUUACUGACACUGAGAAGCGAAAGCAUGGGGAGCGAACAGGAUUANAUACCCUGGUAGUCCAUG
rnacentral:rRNA from 1 species